CUCGAGGGAGCGGCAGACGGGUGAGUAACGCGUGGGAAUCUACCUAUCUCUAGGGAAUAACUCAGGGAAACUUGUGCUAAUACCCUAUACGUCCUUCGGGAGAAAGAUUUAUCGGAGAUGGAUGAGCCCGCGUUGGAUUAGCUAGUUGGUGGGGUAAAGGCCUACCAAGGCGACGAUCCAUAGCUGGUCUGAGAGGAUGAUCAGCCACACUGGGACUGAGACACGGCCCAGACUCCUACGGGAGGCAGCAGUGGGGAAUAUUGGACAAUGGGCGCAAGCCUGAUCCAGCCAUGCCGCGUGAGUGAUGAAGGCCCUAGGGUUGUAAAGCUCUUUCACCGGUGAAGAUAAUGACGGUAACCGGAGAAGAAGCCCCGGCUAACUUCGUGCCAGCAGCCGCGGUAAUACGAAGGGGGCUAGCGUUGUUCGGAUUUACUGGGCGUAAAGCGCACGUAGGCGGAUUGGUCAGUUAGGGGCGAAAUCCUAGGGCUCAACCAUGGAACUGCCUUCAAUAUCGGCGGCCUUGAUAUGUCAGAGGUGAUUUGAAUUUCCCACCGUCCACCU
rnacentral:rRNA from 1 species